UUUAUUGGAGAGUUUGAUCCUGGCUCAGGAUGAACGCUGGCGGCGUGCCUAAUACAUGCAAGUCGAGCGAAUGGAUUAAGAGCUUGCUCUUAUGAAGUUAGCGGCGGACGGGUGAGUAACACGUGGGUAACCUGCCCAUAAGACUGGGAUAACUCCGGGAAACCGGGGCUAAUACCGGAUAACAUUUUGAACCGCAUGGUUCGAAAUUGAAAGGCGGCUUCGGCUGUCACUUAAGGAAGGACCCGCGUGGAAUGAGCUAGUUGGGUAGGUAACGGCGCACCAA
rnacentral:rRNA from 1 species